rnacentral:rRNA from 1 species
CCUACGGGAGGCAGCAGUGGGGAAUAUUGGACAAUGGGCGAAAGCCUGAUCCAGCAAUGCCGCGUGAGUGAUGAAGGCCUUAGGGUUGUAAAGCUCUUUUACCCGGGAUGAUAAUGACAGUACCGGGAGAAUAAGCUCCGGCUAACUCCGUGCCAGCAGCCGCGGUAAUACGGAGGGAGCUAGCGUUAUUCGGAAUUACUGGGCGUAAAGCGCACGUAGGCGGCUUUGUAAGUAAGAGGUGAAAGCCUGGAGCUCAACUCCAGAACUGCCUUUUAGACUGCAUCGCUUGAAUCCAGGAGAGGUGAGUGGAAUUCCGAGUGUAGAGGUGAAAUUCGUAGAUAUUCGGAAGAACACCAGUGGCGAAGGCGGCUC